rnacentral:rRNA from 1 species
GAUGAACGCUGGCGGCGUGCCUAAUACAUGCAAGUCGAGCGAACAGACGAGGAGCUUGCUCCUCUGACGUUAGCGGCGGACGGGUGAGUAACACGUGGAUAACCUACCUAUAAGACUGGGAUAACUUCGGGAAACCGGAGCUAAUACCGGAUAAUAUAUUGAACCGCAUGGUUCAAUAGUGAAAGACGGUUUUGCUGUCACUUAUAGAUGGAUCCGCGCCGCAUUAGCUAGUUGGUAAGGUAACGGCUUACCAAGGCAACGAUGCGUAGCCGACCUGAGAGGGGGAUGGGCCACACUGGAAAUGAGACACGGCCCAGCCCCCCAGGGGGGGCAAGAGGAGGGAAUUUUCCGCAAGGGGGGAAAGCCUGACGGAGCAACGCCGGGGGGGUGAUGAAGGGUUUCGGAUCGUAAAACUCUGUUAUUAGGGAAGAAAAAAUGUGGAAGUAACUAUGCACGUUUUGACGGUACCUAAGAAAAAAGCCACGGCUAACUACGU